UUUGUGACUAUUGAGCAGGAUGUUGU
rnacentral:piRNA from 1 species